UUUUUCCUACGGGAGGCAGCAGUGAGGAAUAUUGGUCAAUGGUCGGGAGACUGAACCAGCCAAGCCGCGUGAGGGAUGAAGGUACAGAGUAUCGUAAACCUCUUUUGUCAGGGAACAAAGGCGGGGACGUGUCCCCGGAUGAGUGUACCUGAAGAAAAAGCAUCGGCUAACUCCGUGCCAGCAGCCGCGGUAAUACGGAGGAUGCGAGCGUUAUCCGGAUUUAUUGGGCGUAAAGGGAACGCAGGCGGUCUUUUAAGUCUGAUGUG
rnacentral:rRNA from 1 species